rnacentral:lncRNA from 1 species
UGAGUACAAAAAUAGAAACAAGACAAAUGAAAGAACAUUUCAGCUCAUUUCUUCUUCAAUUUUUUUUAGUCUCACGAAUGGUGAAGGUGAGAGCCACCGGCUGCACGUAGAGGAAACCAAAAAUUUACUUGUUUAGAAGCUAACUCCUCAAGCAUUGGUAACCUUUCCAAGCUCAUCUUGUCCAAAGAUUUUGUUUUACAAAGAAAACUAGUGUGAUUUUGAGUUGAAUGUUUAAACCCUGACUUAGUGAUGAAGAGUUGUCUUUAUUUGCUAAAUUUAUCUCUUGUGUUGAGUAAAUUUGUUGACCUUGUAGUCGCCUAUAAUUUUAUCAUCUUGUAACCUUGUGGCCAAUAGCGGAGCUAAGGAGGUUGGCAGGGACCCUAGCCCCUCUAAAAUGGAAGAAACUCGCGUAAACCACACUAGGUUCAAAUCCCAUAAAUGAUUGAAGGGAUCACAGACGAUCCCACUUAAAAUCUAAUCUCCUAGAUAAAAUAUCGCACUGAUGUAAUUUAGUAAAACACCGAAAUUUUUAGAGAGCAAGAACAUGAGAGAAAAGAGAGAAUUGAUUUUUUCUUGUUUUUCUGUGUAGAAUAGCCUACUAUUUAUAUUAUUUUCAGAAUAGACAAAAUGGUAAAAUAGUAGUUUCAGUUUCCAAAAAUAGUAAAGGAUUUUCCUCAACAGAAAAUAUUCUGCAACAGUUAGAAAAUUUUCCUCAACUGAAAAAUAUUCUACAACAGAAAAUAUUUUGAAAAAGUAUAUUUGAUUUUGCAUUACCAACAAUCCUGAUGUAAUGUAAACGUGGUCAUCACAUGCCAUCAUCUAAUUGAUCGAAUAACCACGUCAACAGAACUUAACAAUCAAAUUUGAUCAACGGGAUUUGAUUGGUUAAUUUUUCAUCUUUAAGCAGGGGCGAAGCGAGAAAAUUUUUUUAGGGGGACCGAAUAAAAUUUUAAUUUUUUAUAGUCUAUAUCUUUAUAAUUUUUAAAGGACUAAAUCAAAUUUUUAUAAUUUUAGAGGGGCUAAAGUGUAAUUUUAUCUUUAUUAAUUUAAAUUUUUAAAAAAAUUUAAAGGCCUAAAUAGUAAAUUUUCAUUUUAGAGGUCGAGCCCUGCCAACCACCCUAACUCUGGCUUUCAAGAUCUAGCUUAUUUAUUAUUUCCGCUCAUCUAUUGACAUAAAUUGAUUGUUACCCUGUCAACAUAUUGAUUGUUGUGGUAUCAUUCCUUUUGGCGGGCAAGUGACCGAACACCUUUGAUAGAGGUUGUUAAGUGUAGAAUUGUUGGUGGUUGAGUGCUUAACCAUACUUUGGUUGCAUAUUUUAAUGGAAUAAGGGUUGAAUGCGUAUUUGAUUCUAGUGCGACUAUUGGUUUAAUCAACUUAGUAGUUGUCAUUUUAGAUUUUGGAAUCGUUGUGGUUGUGUUGGCAUCGAAAAAUGACCAAGUGUGUAUCUUCUAUACCUAAAAACAACGUACAUGGCAAAGCCAAAAAGUAUAUUGUCGACACCACAUUAUCGUGUGCCAGACUGUGUGAGCCACACAGGCAUAAGCUAGGCCAUGUGGGCCACACGAGCAUGUGCUACAAUAGGUUGUAUUGGCCACACAAGCGUGUGGGCUCAUUUUCUGUAAAAUUUAGUUAGAGAUGUGUUUCAAAGUGCAUUUCGAUGUUAGCAAUAUUAUAGGCUUUGUUAAGUGAUAUUCAUGCUUCUGGUAUAUAAAUCUAUGGUUUUGCCUUUGUAUAAGUAUUUUCUGAGUAUGUUGUUAGCAUGAUUCUGAAAAGUAAGUAUGUCUAAUAUGUGUGCAUUUAAAUAUCUGGUUAUGCUUAUGUUGCAUCUGCAUUGGGGUGAAAUAAUUAUGUGACGGAGAAAGAGUUGGCAGUUUAAUGAUCUGUCGUAUCUGGUGGUUUAACCACAUAUUUGUUCUGGCAGCUUGGCCGCAAAUCUGGUGGCUUGACUUGUAGCAACCUGAAAGUCAGGGGUGACGAAAAAUGCGAUUUCGAGUAUGUACAGCUCAAUAUUUGCCCAGCCCAAAUUAACCCACCUAGACUAAACCCAAACCCAAAUGGCCCAAUUACAACCAAUACCAACCCAAACCUAGACCCAAACAAGCCCAAAUAAAAGCAAAUAACAACCCAAAAAAUACAGCCCAAACCCAAUGAAAACUAGGGUUUCAGAACCCUGGUGCCCCCAUGUGCGCCGUACAUUCCUUCUGACCCUCUACCGACGCCGUCUGCAGGCUACCCCGUCCGUGUCACGUCUCCUCCACCGCCCUACACCUGCAAACAAUAAAGAGAGUCUACAGCAACAAGCAACAGGGGGUUUUUGCUUUUGAUUUUCGGUAUAAAAACCGAUUUUAAAACAGUUUGAGGCGGGUUCUUUUUUCUUUUCUUUUCUUUCAACUUUUGUAACAAAAAUAGAUUAAAACAAAAAGAAAAUAAAAAAGAGAUUUCAAGGUGAUUGCUGGUUUUUUUUUUCAUUUAUGUUUUCCUAGUUGUUUUAUUUUUUUAUUUUUGUCAUUUU